rnacentral:rRNA from 1 species
UACGAAGGGGGCUAGCGUUGCUCGGAAUGACUGGGCGUAAAGGGCGCGUAGGCGGAUGGCACAGUCAGAUGUGAAAUUCCUGGGCUUAACCUGGGGGCUGCAUUUGAUACGUGUGAUCUAGAGUGAGGAAGAGGGUUGUGGAAUUCCCGGUUUAGCGGUGAAAUGCGCAGAUAUCGGGAAGAACACCCGUGGCGAAGGCGGCUCUCUGGGACGGUACUGACGCUGAGACGCGAAAGCGUGGGGAGCGAACAGG